AAAGGGUGCAUAGGCGGGCAAUUAAGUCAGGGGUGAAAUCCCGAGGCUCAACCUCGGAACUGCCCUUGAUACUGGUUGUCUUGAGUCCGGAAGAGGUGAGUGGAACUGCGAGUGUAGAGGUGAAAUUCGUAGAUAUUCGCAAGAACACCGGUGGCGAAGGCGGCUCACUGGUCCGGAACUGACGCUGAGGCACGACAGCGUGGGGAGCAAACAGGAUUAGAUACCCGGGU
rnacentral:rRNA from 1 species